CCUACGGGAGGCAGCAGUGAGGAAUAUUGGUCAAUGGACGAGAGUCUGAACCAGCCAAGUAGCGUGAAGGAUGACUGCCCUAUGGGUUGUAAACUUCUUUUAUAUGGGAAUAAAAUGUUCCACGUGUGGGAUUUUGUAUGUACCAUAUGAAUAAGGAUCGGCUAACUCCGUGCCAGCAGCCGCGGUAAUACGGAGGAUCCGAGCGUUAUCCGGAUUUAUUGGGUUUAAAGGGAGCGUAGGUUGAUUGUUAAGUCAGUUGUGAAAGUUUGCGGCUCAACUGUAAAAUUGCAGUUGAAACUGGCAGUCUUGAGUACAGUAGAGGUGGGCGGAAUUCGUGGUGUAGCGGUGAAAUGCUUAGAUAUCACGAAGAACUCCGAUUGCGAAGGCAGUUCACUGGACUGCAACUGACACUGAGGCUCGAAAGUGUGGGUAUCAAACAGGAUUAGAUACCCUUGUAGUC
rnacentral:rRNA from 1 species